rnacentral:pre_miRNA from 1 species
GUGUGUGUUCUUAGUUUGUCCUUUGGCAAAUUCUCUUUGAUAUUGAUAGGUCCCUUGCCAAGAGAUAUCUAUUGUUGAUCUAGAAACAUGGAUUUGAUACCAAUUAAGGUCCCUCUUCAAAUCAAAGAGAAUUUGCCAAAGGACAAACUAAGAACACACUU